GACAGAGGGGGCAAGCGUUGCUCGGAAUUACUGGGCGUAAAGGGCGCGUAGGCGGGAUGGUAAGUCGGUCGUGAAAUCCCUCGGCUCAACCGAGGAACGUCGAUCGAUACUGCCGUUCUUGAGGAUUGCAGAGGAGACUGGAAUUCCCGGUGUAGCGGUGAAAUGUGUAGAGAUCGGGAGGAACACCGGUGGCGAAAGCGGCGCACUGGACCACUUCUGACGCUGAGGCGCGAAAGCGAGGGGAGCAAACAGG
rnacentral:rRNA from 1 species